rnacentral:rRNA from 1 species
CCUACGGGGUGCUGCAGUGAGGAAUAUUGGUCAAUGGGCUUACGCCUGAACCAGCCAAGUCGCGUGAGGGAAGACUGCCCUAUGGGUUGUAAACCUCUUUUGUCAGGGAGCAAUUGGCGCUACGUGUAGCGUUAUCGAGAGUACCUGAAGAAAAAGCAUCGGCUAACUCCGUGCCAGCAGCCGCGGUAAUACGGAGGAUGCGAGCGUUAUCCGGAUUUAUUGGGUUUAAAGGGUGCGUAGGCGGAAUGCCAAGUCAGCGGUAAAAUCGCGGGGCUCAACCUCGCUCCGCCGUUGAAACUGGCGGUCUUGAGUGGGGGAGAGGGAGGCGGAAUGCGUGGUGUAGCGGUGAAAUGCAUAGAGAUCACGCAGAACUCCGAUUGCGAAGGCAGCAUACCGGAGCCCAACUGACGCUGAAGCACGAAAGCGUGGGUAUCAAACAGGAUUAGAGACCCCUGUAGUC